rnacentral:rRNA from 1 species
AUACGGAAGGUCCGGGCGUUAUCCGGAUUUAUUGGGUUUAAAGGGAGCGCAGGCGGAGAUGCAAGCGUGACGUCAAAUUUCGGGGCUCAACCCCGUCUCGCGUCGCGAACUGCGUCCCUUGGUUGCGGGAAGGGGAGGCGAAACUCGUGGUGUAGCGGUGAAAUGCAUAGAUAUCACGAGGAACUCCGAUUGCGCAGGCAGCUUACUAAACUACUACUGACGCUCAGGCACGAAGGCGUGGGGAUCAAACAGGAUUAGAUACCCUGGUAGUCCACGCAGUAAACGAUGAUUACUAGCUGUUUGCGAUACAAUGUAAGCGGCUGAGCGAAAGCGUUAAGUAAUCCACCUGGGGAGUACGUUCGCAAGAAUGAAACUCAAAGGAAUUGACGGGG